rnacentral:lncRNA from 1 species
GAAAAAUUUAAAGAAAAACUGUACCAGUGAUGAACUACAGAUCCAUUCUCUAGACAAUACUGAUUGUAUUCAAACUUGCAUUUGGAAAAGUAGUAUUUGCAUAGAUGAUGAAGAGUGCUACAUAUGUACAUGUGAGUAUGGAUGGAGAUUAGAUAAAGACAAUUACACCUGUGUUGAUGUUGAUGAAUGUACAGCUUCAAACAAACCCUGCAACUGGACUAACAGUAUUUGCAUAAACACUAAUGGAAGCUACCUUUGUGCAUGUGAGUCUGGAUGGUUAUUGGAUA